CGCUGGCGGCGUGCCUAACACAUGCAAGUCAACUUGACUGAAGGAGCAAUCUGACAGUAGAGUGGCGCAAGGGUGCGUAACGCGUAAGUAACUUACCCCAAGGUAAGGAAUAACGUCGAGAAAUCGGCGCUAAUACCUCAUAAUGCAGCGGAUCCGCAUGGAUAUGUUGUUAAAGGUUUACCGCCUUGGGAUAGGCUUGCGUCUGAUUAGCUAGUUGGUGUGGUAACGGCACACCAAGGCUACGAUCAGUAACUGGUCUGAGAGGAUGAUCAGUCACACUGGAACUGAGACACGGUCCAGACUCCUACGGGAGGCAGCAGUGAGGAAUAUUGGGCAAUGCUCGAAAGAGUGACCCAGCAACGCCGCGUGGAGGAUGAAGGUAUUCUAUAUCGUAAACUCCUGUGAGAGCAGACGAAAGACAGAUUAUUAAUCUGGAUGACUGUAUGCUCAGAGGAAGCCCCGGCUAACUACGUG
rnacentral:rRNA from 1 species